CCUCUCCAUCAGCGCCACCCGUCUGGGGCCCGAAACGAGGGAGCUUUCCCUCUGUCCCCCAGCCUUUGGACUGUCACCAAACAAGCCAUUCGUUCAUCAAAAAUACUUAUUAAGCGCCUACCAUGUGCCUGACAAGGGAGAUGUAACGGUGAGAAAAAGUAGGUGUGGUCCAGGCCCUCCAGGGGCUCAGGGGCUCGUGGAAGAAGUGGACAUUGAAAUACUUAUCACACAAAUGAGGAUAAAAGUACGAUAGCGAUAUCUGCCACGAAGGUGUUGUUCCACACCAGAACCAAAUGAGCGCAAGAUCUGACAAAGAAAAAAAAAGGUUCAUCUUUUAUUCCUCCAAACACUUUCAUUUAAAUCAAGAGGAUGGGAUGUGGUUAUUGCUGUGUUUUUAGGCAGAAUCAACGGUUUCUGGGUCUGAGAUGGUGCAUACACCCUCUCAGUCCCUGUAUCCUGAGAUGGAGUCACCUAAGAAUCCACAGCAAGUCCUAACCAGGGAUGGGUCUGGGUGAUUAAGGAAGGUUGGCUUCAGAACUGGGCCAGGGG
rnacentral:lncRNA from 10 species